AUCGAACGCUGGCGGCAGGCCUAACACAUGCAAGUCGAACGAGUGGCGGACGGGUGGGUAAUGUCGGGAAACCUGCCCGAUGGAGGGGGAUGACUACUGGAAACGUUAGCUAAUACCGCAUACUGUCGGAUGAACCCAUAUGGGUUUAGCUAGUCGGGGGGGUAAAGGCUCACCUAGGCGACGAUCGCUAGCUGGUCUGAGAGGAUGAUCGGCCACACUGGGACUGAGACACGGCCCAGACUCCUACGGGAGGCAGCAGUGGGGAAUAUUGCGCAAUGGGCGAAAGCCUGAUGCAGCCAUGCCGCGUGUGUGAAGAAGGCCUUAGGGUUGUAAAGUACUUUUAGUGGGGAGGCGUUACCCGAAGAAGAAGCACCGGCUAACUACGUGCCAGCAGCCGCGGUAAUAC
rnacentral:rRNA from 1 species